rnacentral:rRNA from 1 species
UGAGGAAUAUUGGUCAAUGGGUGCAAGCCUGAACCAGCCAUCCCGCGUGAAGGACGACUGCCCUAUGGGUUGUAAACUUCUUUUGUAUAGGGAUAAACCUACCCUCGUGAGGGUAGCUGAAGGUACUAUACGAAUAAGCACCGGCUAACUCCGUGCCAGCAGCCGCGGUAAUACGGAGGGUGCAAGCGUUAUCCGGAUUUAUUGGGUUUAAAGGGUCCGUAGGCGGACUUAUAAGUCAGUGGUGAAAGCCUGUCGCUUAACGAUAGAACUGCCAUUGAUACUGUUAGUCUUGAGUAUAUUUGAGGUAGCUGGAAUAAGUAGUGUAGCGGUGAAAUGCAUAGAUAUUACUUAGAACACCAAUUGCGAAGGCAGGUUACCAAGAUAUAACUGACGCUGAGGGACGAAAGCGUGGGAAGCGAACA